CUCCGGUUGCUCUCAACGGACCCGACUGCUAUCGGAUUGAGAUUUAGCCAUGUGAGUCGAACGCUUCUUGAGUGCAAGGGGCGUGGCGUACGGCUCAGUAACACGUAGUCAACCUGCCCUGGAGACGUGGACAACCCCGGGAAACUGGGAUUAAUCCAUGAUAGGUCAUCUCAUCUGGAAGGAGAGAUGGCUUAAAGGGAAACGCGGGCUUCUUCCGCGACAUUCGCUCCAGGAUGGGACUGCGACCGAUCAGGCUGUUGGCGGGGUAAUGGCCCACCAAACCUGUUACCGGUACGGGCCUUGAGAGAGGGGGCCCGGAGAUGGACACUGAGAGAAGGGUCCAGGUCCUACGGGGCGCAGCAGGCGCGAAACCUUCGCAAUGCGCGAAAGCGUGACGAGGUUAAUCCGAGUGGCCCCCGCUGAGGGGGUCUUUUGUCGGCUGUAAAAAGGCCGGUGAAUAAGGGGAGGGCAAGUCUGGUGUCAGCCGCCGCGGUAAUACCAGCUCCUCGAGUGGUCGGGGCGAUUAUUGGGCCUAAAGCAUCCGUAGCCUGUUCCGUAGGUCCCCUGUUAAAUCCAACGGCUUAACCGUUGGCCUGCAGAGGAUACCGCGGGACUAGGAGGCGGGAGAGGUGGGCGGUACUCCACGUGUAGGGGUAAAAUCCUUUGAUCCGUGGAAGACCACCAGAUCGAUUGUGGAGAGCAUAACAACGAGCAAUUAACGAAACGUGAGCAUUCCAAGAAGCAACUUCACGACCUUCGCGUGCAAGAUUUCGCUUAACUAUCCUGAAAAUACGCUCGUCUGCAAGCUCUUUACAACCGAGGUGAAUGGCGAAGGCGGCCCACCAGAACGCGCUCGACGGUGAGGGAUGAAAGCUGGGGGAGCGAACCGGAUUAGAUACCCGGGUAGUCCCAGCCGUAAACGAUGCGAGCUAGAUGAUCCAGUCGCAAAUCGCGAUUGGAGUGUCGCAGGGAAGCCGUUAAGCUCGCAACCUGGGGAGUACG
rnacentral:rRNA from 1 species